rnacentral:rRNA from 1 species
UACAGAGGGGGCAAGCGUUGUUCGGAAUUACUGGGCGUAAAGGGCGCGUAGGCGGCCGCCUAAGUCAGACGUGAAAUCCCUCGGCUCAACCGGGGAACUGCGUCUGAUACUGGGUGGCUUGAAUCCGGGAGAGGGAUGCGGAAUUCCAGGUGUAGCGGUGAAAUGCGUAGAUAUCUGGAGGAACACCGGUGGCGAAGGCGGCAUCCUGGACCAAUAUUGACGCUGAGGAGCGAAAGCCAGGGGAGCAAACGGG